AGGGCGCACGGUGGAUGCCUUGGCACUAGGAGCCGAUGAAGGACGGAACUAAUACCGAUAUGCUUCGGGGAGCUAUAAGUAAGCUUUGAUCCGGAGAUUUCCGAAUGGGGGAACCCAGUACACAGCAGUGUAUUGCCUGCAAGUGAAUUCAUAGCUUGUCGGCGGCAGACGCGGGGAACUGAAACAUCUCAGUACCCGCAGGAAGAGAAAGAAAACUCGAUUCCCAUAGUAGCGGCGAGCGAAGUGGGAAGAGCCCAAACCGAGAAGCUUGCUUCUCGGGGUUGUAGGACUGGACAUUGGAGUUACCAAAGUUCGACGUAGUCGAAGUCAGCUGGAAAGCUGCGCCAUAGAAGGUGAAAGCCCUGUAAACGAAACGGCGGACCCUCCGUCCAGGAUCCUGAGUACGGCGGAACACGUGAAAUUCCGUCGGAAUCCGGGAGGACCAUCUCCCAAGGCUAAAUACUCCCUAGUGACCGAUAGUGAACCAGUACCGUGAGGGAAAGGUGAAAAGCACCCCGGAAGGGGAGUGAAACAGUUCCUGAAACCGUGUGCCUACAAUUAGUCAAAGCCCGUUAAGGGGUAAUGGCGUGCCUUUUGUAGAAUGAACCGGCGAGUUACGUUUGCCUGCGAGGUUAAGAUGAAAAGUCGGAGCCGGAGCGAAAGCGAGUCUGAACAGGGCGAAUGAGUAGGCAGAUGUAGACCCGAAACCAAGUGACCUACCCAUGACCAGGUUGAAGGUGUGGUGAAACACACUGGAGGACCGAACCCAUGUAUGUUGAAAAAUGCUGGGAUGAGUUGUGGGUAGCGGUGAAAUUCCAAACGAACUUGGAGAUAGCUGGUUCUCUCCGAAAUAGCUUUAGGGUUAGCCUCGGAGGAUGGAUCAUGGAGGUAGAGCACUGUUUGAACUAGGGGCCCAUCAAGGGUUACUGAAUUCAGAUAAACUCCGAAUACCAUCGAUCUUACUCCGGGAGUCAGACAGUGAGCGAUAAGGUCCAUUGUCGAAAGGGGAACAGCCCAGAUCACCAGUUAAGGUCCCUAAAUUUAUGCUAAGUGGAAAAGGAUGUGGCGUUGCACAGACAACUAGGAUGUUGGCUCAGAAGCAGCCACCAUUUAAAGAGUGCGUAAUAGCUCACUAGUCGAGUGGCACUGCGCCGAAAAUAUACCGGGGCUAAGCAUAAUACCGAAACUGUGGGUGCACCCGUAAGGGUGCGCGGUAGGAGAGCGUUCUAAGGGCGUUGAAGGUCGAUCGUGAGGACGGCUGGAGCGCUUAGAAGUGAGAAUGCCGGCAUGAGUAGCGAAAGAUCAGUGAGAAUCUGAUCCACCGUAUGACUAAGGUUUCCUGGGGAAGGCUCGUCCUCCCAGGGUUAGUCGGGAUCUAAGGCGAGGCCGCAAGGCGUAGUCGAUGACAAGCAGGUUGAGAUUCCUGCACUAGUUUAUUUUGUUUAAGCGAUGGAGGGACGCAGGAGGCUAAGGAAAGCGCACGGCUGGAAAAGUGCGUCCAAGCCGCAAGUCUGGUGGCGAGUGAAAUGCUUGCGACCAUAAGGACAAGCGGUGAUGGGGAGCGAAAUUAAAGUAGCGAAGUUCCUGAUGUCACACUGCCAAGAAAAGCUUCUAGUGAGAAAUAAACUACCCGUACCGCAAACCGACACAGGUAGUCGAGGAGAGUAUCCUCAGGUGAGCGAGCGAACUCUCGUUAAGGAACUCGGCAAAAUGACCCCGUAACUUCGGAAGAAGGGGUGCUGACCGCAAGGUCAGCCGCAGUGAAUAGGCCCAAACAACUGUUUAUCAAAAACACAGGUCUCUGCUAAAUCGAAAGAUGAUGUAUAGGGGCUGACGCCUGCCCGGUGCUGGAAGGUUAAGAGGAUGAGUUAGCGCAAGCGAAGCCCAGAAUUGAAGCCCCAGUAAACGGCGGCCGUAACUAUAACGGUCCUAAGGUAGCGAAAUUCCUUGUCGGGUAAGUUCCGACCCGCACGAAAGGCGUAAUGAUUUGGGCACUGUCUCAACGAGAGACUCGGUGAAAUUAUAGUACCCGUGAAGAUGCGGGUUACCCGCGACAGGACGGAAAGACCCCAUGGAGCUUUACUGUAGCUUGAUAUUGAGUGUUGGUACCGCUUGUACAGGAUAGGUAGGAGCCGUAGAGAUCGGAACGCUAGUUUCGAUGGAGGCGUUGGUGGGAUACUACCCU
rnacentral:rRNA from 1 species